rnacentral:rRNA from 1 species
GACGAACGCUGGCGGCGUGCCUAAUACAUGCAAGUAGAACGCUGAAGGAGGAGCUUGCUUCUCUGGAUGAGUUGCGAACGGGUGAGUAACGCGUAGGUAACCUGCCUGGUAGCGGGGGAUAACUAUUGGAAACGAUAGCCAAUACCGCAUAAUAGUAGAUGUUGCAUGACAUUUGCUUAAAAGGUGCAAUUGCAUCACUACCAGAUGGACCUGCGUUGUAUUAGCUAGUUGGUGGGGUAACGGCUCACCAAGGCGACGAUACAUAGCCGACCUGAGAGGGUGAUCGGCCACACUGGGACUGAGACACGGCCCAGACUCCUACGGGAGGCAGCAGUAGGGAAUCGUCGGCAAUGGACGGAAGUCUGACCGAGCAACGCCGCGUGAGUGAAGAAGGUUUUCGGAUCGUAAAGCUCUGUUGUAAGAGAAGAACGAGUGUGAGAGUGGAAAGUUCACACUGUGACGGUAUCUUACCAGAAAGAGACGGCUAACUACGUG